rnacentral:rRNA from 2 species
AACUCUGGUAUUGAUUGGUGCUUGCAUCAUGAUUUACAUUUGAGUGAGUGGCGAACUGGUGAGUAACACGUGGGAAACCUGCCCAGAAGCGGGGGAUAACACCUGGAAACAGAUGCUAAUACCGCAUAACAACUUGGACCGCAUGGUCCGAGUUUGAAAGAUGGCUUCGGCUAUCACUUUUGGAUGGUCCCGCGGCGUAUUAGCUAGAUGGUGAGGUAACGGCUCACCAUGGCAAUGAUACGUAGCCGACCUGAGAGGGUAAUCGGCCACAUUGGGACUGAGACACGGCCCAAACUCCUACGGGAGGCAGCAGUAGGGAAUCUUCCACAAUGGACGAAAGUCUGAUGGAGCAACGCCGCGUGAGUGAAGAAGGGUUUCGGCUCGUAAAACUCUGUUGUUAAAGAAGAACAUAUCUGAGAGUAACUGUUCAGGUAUUGACGGUAUUUAACCAGAAAGCCACGGCUAACUACGUGCCAGCAGCCGCGGUAAUACGUAGGUGGCAAGCGUUGUCCGGAUUUAUUGGGCGUAAAGCGAGCGCAGGCGGUUUUUUAAGUCUGAUGUGAAAGCCUUCGGCUCAACCGAAGAAGUGCAUCGGAAACUGGGAAACUUGAGUGCAGAAGAGGACAGUGGAACUCCAUGUGUAGCGGUGAAAUGCGUAGAUAUAUGGAAGAACACCAGUGGCGAAGGCGGCUGUCUGGUCUGUAACUGACGCUGAGGCUCGAAAGUAUGGGUAGCAAACAGGAUUAGAUACCCUGGUAGUCCAUACCGUAAACGAUGAAUGCUAAGUGUUGGAGGGUUUCCGCCCUUCAGUGCUGCAGCUAACGCAUUAAGCAUUCCGCCUGGGGAGUACGGCCGCAAGGCUGAAACUCAAAGGAAUUGACGGGGGCCCGCACAAGCGGUGGAGCAUGUGGUUUAAUUCGAAGCUACGCGAAGAACCUUACCAGGUCUUGACAUACUAUGCAAAUCUAAGAGAUUAGACGUUCCCUUCGGGGACAUGGAUACAGGUGGUGCAUGGUUGUCGUCAGCUCGUGUCGUGAGAUGUUGGGUUAAGUCCCGCAACGAGCGCAACCCUUAUUAUCAGUUGCCAGCAUUAAGUUGGGCACUCUGGUGAGACUGCCGGUGACAAACCGGAGGAAGGUGGGGAUGACGUCAAAUCAUCAUGCCCCUUAUGACCUGGGCUACACACGUGCUACAAUGGAUGGUACAACGAGUUGCGAACUCGCGAGAGUAAGCUAAUCUCUUAAAGCCAUUCUCAGUUCGGAUUGUAGGCUGCAACUCGCCUACAUGAAGUCGGAAUCGCUAGUAAUCGCGGAUCAGCAUGCCGCGGUGAAUACGUUCCCGGGCCUUGUACACACCGCCCGUCACACCAUGAGAGUUUGUAACACCCAAAGUCGGUGGGGUAACCUUUUAGA